AUGGGUGGGACCUCCAGCACCCGCCGGGUCACCUUCGAGGCGGACGAGAAUGAGAACAUCACCGUGGUGAAGGGCAUCCGGCUUUCGGAAAAUGUGAUUGAUCGUAUGAAGGAAACCUCUCCAUCUGGUUCGAAGUCUCAGCGGCAUUCUGUUUCUGAUGAAGAAUUGAAGAGAAGAGUGGCUGAGCAGCUGGCGUUGGAGCAAGCCAGGAAAGAGUCUGAAAAUCAGAAAUGAUUAAAGCAAGGCAAAGAACUGGACCGAGAGAGGGCUUUUGCUAAUGAGCAGUUAACCAGAGCUAUUCCUCGAGAGAGAAUAUCAAGUGAAGAAGAAUGAGCCAAGGCAAAGCACCUGGCUAAGCAGCUGGAAGAGAAAGAUCGAGUGAUAAAGAAGCAGGAUGCGUUCUACAAAGAGCAGCUGGCUAGACUGGAGGAGAGGAGCUCAGAAUUCUACAAAGUCACCACUGAACAAUAUCAGAAAGCUGCUGAAGAAGUGGAAGCAAAGUUCAAGCGGUAUGAGUUUCAUCCUGUCUGUGCUGAUCUGCAGGCCAAAAUUCUCCAGUGUUACCGCCAGAAUACCCAGCAGACCCUCAGCUGCUCUGCUCUGGCCAGCCAGUACAUGCGCUGUGUCAAUCAGGCCAAACAGAGCAUGCUUGAGAAGGGAGGAUAAAGUCAACUUUUAGAACAAGCAGAACUCCUCAACGUUAAUUCCAGAGGCGGAACAUUUUUUUUUUCCUAGUAAGAAAGUAACCCAUUUAAGGAGAAGACGAUUAAAGAGAAGCGCCAAAGAGCAGAUUCAGCUGAAGCAUAUCCCAGUUGAUCAACUGCAGUUUGAAAAGCCAAGGCCUAGAUCAGCUAUCAGCCAGCAAGGACACACUGCAGUGUUAGUCAACCCUGUUCAUGAUGAUUAAAAGAGAAAGG